rnacentral:rRNA from 1 species
AACGAACGCUGGCGGCAUGCCUAACACAUGCAAGUCGAACGAUCCCUUCGGGGAUAGUGGCGCACGGGUGCGUAACACGUGGGAACCUGCCCUUAGGUUCGGAAUAACUCAGAGAAAUUUGAGCUAAUACCGGAUAAUGUCUUCGGACCAAAGAUUUAUCGCCUUUGGAUGGGCCCGCGUAGGAUUAGCUUGUUGGUGGGGUAAAGUCCUACCAAGGCGACGAUCCUUAGCUGGUCUGAGAGGAUAAUCAGCCACACUGGGACUGAGACACGGCCCAGACUCCUACGGGAUGCAGCAGUGGGGAAUAUUGGACAAUGGGCGAAAGCCUGAUCCAGCAAUGCCGCGUGAGUGAUGAAGGCCUUAGGGUUGUAAAGCUCUUUUACCAGGGAUGAUAAUGACAGUACCUGGAGAAUAAGCUCCGGCUAACUCCGUGCCAGCAGCCGCCGUAAAAC